rnacentral:rRNA from 1 species
ACGCCGGCGGCGUGCUUAACACAUGCAAGUCGAACGGAGUUUAUGACUUCGGUUAUAAACUUAGUGGCGAACGGGUGAGUAAAGCGCAGAUAACCUGCCUCAAAGAUGGGGACAACAACCCGAAAGGGUUGCUAAUACCGAAUGUUGUAUUUCCUUCGCAUGGAGGAGAUAUUAAAAGAGAAAUCUGCUUUGAGAGGGGUCUGCGUCCGAUUAGCUUGUUGGUGGGGUAAGAGCUUACCAAGGCGACGAUCGGUAGCCGGUCUGAGAGGAUGAACGGCCACAUUGGGACUGAGACACGGCCCGGACUCCUACGGGAGGCAGCAGUGGGGAAUAUUCCACAAUGGGGGGAACCCUGAUGGAGCGACGCCGCGUGAGUGAAGAAGGGCUUCGGCUCGUAAAGCUCUUUUGACUUUGACGAAUGGCAGAUCAGAUUUGCAGAGACGGUAAAAGUCGAAUAAGCUGCGGCUAACUACGUGCCAGCAGCCGCGGUAAUACGUAGGCAGCAAGCGUUGUCCGGAAUUAUUGGGCGUAAAGGGAGCGCAGGCGGGGACUCAGGUCUCACUUAAAAGUGCAGGAGUAAAACCUGUGAUGGG